UACGGGAGGCAGCAGUGGGGAAUAUUGCACAAUGGGGGGAACCUUGAAGCANCAACGCUGCUUNGAGGAUUACACAUUUUGGGAUGUAAACUCAUUUUAUAUGCCAAGAAAAUGACGGUAGCAUAUGAAUAAGCACCGGCUAACUCCGUGCCAGCANCCGCGGUAAUUAGGAGGGGGCAAGCGUUNAUUGGAAUCUUUUGGGGUAAAAGAGGGGUAGGCGGGUUACUAAGUUNGAAGGGGAAUCCCAUGGCUUAACCAUAGAACUGCAUUGGAAACUGGCAACCUAGAGUAUGGGAGGGGGAGAUGGAAUUAGUAGUGUAGGGGUAAAAUCAGUAGAAAUUACUAGGAAUACCCAAAGGGAAGGCGAUCUCCUGGAACAAUACUGACGCUGAGGCNNGAAAGCGGGGGGAGCAAACAGGAUUAGANACCCCCGUAGUCCNCCCCCUAAACNAUGANGANNAGUCGUCNNGNCCUAGUNUCNUCGUGCGCAGCUAACNCAUUAAGU
rnacentral:rRNA from 1 species